GCUAAACGCGAAGAACCUUACCAGGCCUUGACAUGCAGAGAACUUUUCCAGAGAUGGAUUGGUGCCUUCGGGAACGUCUGACACAGGUGCUCGCAUGGCUGUCGUCAGCUCGUGUCGUGAGAUGUUGGGUUAAGUCCCGCAACGAGCGCAACCCCGUAGUCCUAUGUUGCCACCCGCGCAAGCGGCGCACUCUUAGGAGACUGCCUCGGAUAACGGGGAGGAAGGUGGGGACGACGGUCAAGUCCUCAUGGCCCUUAUGUCCAGGGCUACACACGUGAUACAAUGGCGACUACAGAGGGAUGCGAGGCCGCAAGGCGGAGCCAACCCACAAAAGUCGCCCAGUUCAGAUUGUGGGCUGCAACCCGCCCGACAUGAAGGCGGAAUCGCUAGUAAUCGCAGAUCAGCAGGCUGCGGU
rnacentral:rRNA from 1 species